CUGACCUCGAAUCAGGUGGGACUACCCGCUGAACUUAAGCAUAUCAAUAAGCGGAGGAAAAGAAACUAACAAGGAUUCCCUUAGUAACUGCGAGUGAAGUGGGAUGAGCUCAAAUUUAAAAUCUGGUGGUCUCUGGCUGCCCGAGUUGUAAUCUAGAGAAGUGUUUUCUGUGCUGGACUGUGUUUAAGUUUCCUGGAUAUGGAACAUCAUAGAGGGUGAGAAUCCCGUCUUUAAUACAGA
rnacentral:rRNA from 1 species